AUUGAACGCUGGCGGCAUGCCUUACACAUGCAAGUCGAACGGCAGCACGGGUGCUUGGCCCUGGUGGCGAGUGGCGAACGGGUGAGUAAUACAUCGGAACAUGUCCUGUAGUGGGGGAUAGCCCGGCGAAAGCCGGAUUAAUACCGCAUACGAUCUACGGAUGAAAGCGGGGGACCUUCGGGCCUCGCGCUAUAGGGUUGGCCGAUAGCUGAUUAGCUAGUUGGUGGGGUAAAGGCCUACCAAGGCGACGAUCAGUAGCUGGUCUGAGAGGACGACCAGCCACACUGGGACUGAGACACGGCCCAGACUCCUACGGGAGGCAGCAGUGGGGAAUUUUGGACAAUGGGCGAAAGCCUGAUCCAGCAAUGCCGCGUGUGUGAAGAAGGCCUUCGGGUUGUAAAGCACUUUUGUCCGGAAAGAAAUCCUUGGCUCUAAUACAGUCGGGGGAUGACGGUACCGGAAGAAUAAGCACCGGCUAACUACGUG
rnacentral:rRNA from 1 species